rnacentral:antisense_RNA from 1 species
CUUCAGCGCGCCCAGCCACAGCGGGUGCGCGCGCUCGACCGCGCCGUAGGUGUUCAGCAGCGCCUGCGCCUC